rnacentral:lncRNA from 1 species
AGGAGGAGGAGGGAGAGGAGGAGGACGAAGAAAGGGAGAGGAGGAGCUGCCAGUGCACGAGAGAUAAGAAAGAGAGAGGGAGGAGAAGAUAAGGUGGAGAAGAUAAAAAAGAGAGAGGAGGAGCGUGCGCGUGCGUGCUUGGUUGGUGUUUUGUCCCGAUUGGGAAUUCCAACCGGGACAAAAGGGGGUCCUUUUAUCCCGGUUGGAAUUCUUAACCGGGACAAAAGGGGGACGUCGGUGCGAUAUUUUCUAUCCGUUACAACCGGGACUAAAGGGUGGGCUUUAGUCUCGGUUGGUCUUUACAACCGGUACAAAAGCCCCUCCCAUCGGUGGCUU